CCGAGAGGCGUAGUCGAUGGACAACGGGUUGAUAUUCCCGUACCCGCGAAAGAGCGACCCUGACGAACCUCGUUGUGCUAACCACCCAAACCAGCCAAGGUCUUCGGACUGAGGUUGGGGAGCGUGGGAACCUGGCGGGUAGUAGUCAAGCGAUGGGGUGACGCAGGAAGGUAGCUGAGCCCGGCCGGUGGUUGUGCCGGGGUAAGCGUGUAGGCCGUGCCGUAGGCAAAUCCGCGGUGCAUAUAGGCUGAGACGUGAUGCCGAGCCGAUUCAGGUGAAGUCAGUGAUCCUAUGCUGCCGAGAAAAGCCUCUAGCGAGUUCUUAGCGGCCCGUACCCCAAACCGACUCUGG
rnacentral:rRNA from 1 species